CAAUAGCGUAUAUUAAAGUUGUUGCAGUUAAAAAGCUCGUAGUUGGAUUUCUGGUGGGAGCGAUCGGUCUGGCGCUUAGCGCGAGUACUUGCAUCGUCUCCGGCCAUCCUUGGGGAGAGUCUGUCUGGCAUUAAGUUGUCGGGCAGAGGAUCCUCAUCGUUUACUGUGAAAAAAUUAGAGUGUUCAAAGCAGGCUUAUGCCGUUGAAUAUAUUAGCAUGGAAUAAUAAGAUAGGACUUUGGUACUAUUUUGUUGGUUUGCGCACCAAAGUAAUGAUUAAUAGGGACAGUUGGGGGUAUUCGUAUUCCGUUGUCAGAGGUGAAAUUCUUGGAUUUACGGAAGACGAACUACUGCGAAAGCAUUUACCAAGGAUGUUUNCAUUAG
rnacentral:rRNA from 1 species